CCCACAGCGAAGGCGACAGCCUUGAGGUAUUAUCACUAGACCCAGGCACAAGUGGUAUCAAGCUUCAGGCACAGAGCUAGGGGGCACCUCCCAAUCUCUUCAACACUAGCACCACCAAUGAGGAGGAAGACUACGAACCCUCAGAGGAUGACCAACAAGCUCUUCACCUACAUCCUCCAUCAGUUCUAUGACAUUCACCUCAAUUGGUACUCUCUCAAUAAUUCUCUGAGCACAAUUAGCCUAUUUGUAAAUGCAUGUGAAAUGCAGGAUUUACCCCAGUUUCAGACGUCCUCC